CAGAGUUUUGAAAAUCUGGCUCAGGAUGAACGCUGGCGGCGUGCUAAUACAUGCAAGUCGAGCGAACGGACGAGAAGCUUGCUUCUCUGAUGUUAGCGGCGGACGGGUGAGUAACACGUGGAUAACCUACCUAUAAGACUGGGAUAACUUCGGGAAACCGGAGCUAAUACCGGAUAAUAUUUUGAACCGCAUGGUUCAAAAGUGAAAGACGGUCUUGCUGUCACUUAUAGAUGGAUCCGCGCUGCAUUAGCUAGUUGGUAAGGUAACGGCUUACCAAGGCAACGAUGCAUAGCCGACCUGAGAGGGUGAUCGGCCACACUGGAACUGAGACACGGUCCAGACUCCUACGGGAGGCAGCAGUAGGGAAUCUUCCGCAAUGGGCGAAAGCCUGACGGAGCAACGCCGCGUGAGUGAUGAAGGUCUUCGGAUCGUAAAACUCUGUUAUUAGGGAAGAACAUAUGUGUAAGUAACUGUGCACAUCUUGACGGUACCUAAUCAGAAAGCCACGGCUAACUACGUGCCAGCAGCCGCGGUAAUACGUAGGUGGCAAGCGUUAUCCGGAAUUAUUGGGCGUAAAGCGCGCGUAGGCGGUUUUUUAAGUCUGAUGUGAAAGCCCACGGCUCAACCGUGGAGGGUCAUUGGAAACUGGAAAACUUGAGUGCAGAAGAGGAAAGUGGAAUUCCAUGUGUAGCGGUGAAAUGCGCAGAGAUAUGGAGGAACACCAGUGGCGAAGGCGACUUUCUGGUCUGUAACUGACGCUGAUGUGCGAAAGCGUGGGGAUCAAACAGGAUUAGAUACCCUGGUAGUCCACGCCGUAAACGAUGAGUGCUAAGUGUUAGGGGGUUUCCGCCCCUUAGUGCUGCAGCUAACGCAUAAGCACUCCGCAGGGGGCC
rnacentral:rRNA from 1 species